rnacentral:rRNA from 1 species
UGGGGAAUAUUGGACAAUGGGCGAAAGCCUGAUCCAGCCAUGACGCGUGUGUGAAGAAGGUCUUCGGAUUGUAAAGCACUUUAAGUUGGGAGGAAGGGCAUUAACCUAAUACGUUAGUGUUUUGACGUUACCGACAGAAUAAGCACCGGCUAACUCUGUGCCAGCAGCCGCGGUAAUACAGAGGGUGCAAGCGUUAAUCGGAAUUACUGGGCGUAAAGCGCGCGUAGGUGGUUUGUUAAGUUGGAUGUGAAAUCCCCGGGCUCAACCUGGGAACUGCAUUCAAAACUGACUGACUAGAGUAUGGUAGAGGGUGGUGGAAUUUCCUGUGUAGCGGUGAAAUGCGUAGAUAUAGGGAGGAACACCAGUGGCGAAGGCGACCACCUGGACUAAUACUGACACUGAGGUGCGAAAGCGUGGGGAGCAAACA